rnacentral:rRNA from 1 species
UCUAACCGGUAAACGAUGACAACCAGCGAUUAGUCGGCGUUAAUAUAUGACCCGACUAGCAGCUUCCGGGAAACCAAAGUUUUUCGUUUCCGGGGGAAGUAUGGUUGCAAAGCUGAAACUUAAAGGAAUUGACGGAAGGGCACCACCAGGAGUGGAGCCUGCGGCUUAAUUUGACUCAACACGGGAAAACUCACCCGGCCCGGACACCGUAAGGAUUGACAGACUGAGAGCUCUUUCUUAAUUCGGUGGGUGGUGGUGCAUGGCCGUUCUUAGUUGGUGGAGCGAUUUGUCUGGUUAAUUCCGAUAACGAACGAGACUCUGGCCUAUUAAAUAGACGAUAUAUUUAAAAGUAUAUCGCGCUUCUUAGAGGGACAAGCGGCGUCUAGCCGCAUGAAAUAGAGCAAUAACAGGUCUGUGAUGCCCUUAGAUGUCCGGGGCUGCACGCGCGCUACACUGAAAGAAUCAGAGUGCGUUUUGCCUAGUUCGGAAGAACCGGGUAACCCAAGUAAAUUCUUUCGUGCUUGGGAUAGGGAAUUGCAAUUAUUUCCCUUAAACGAGGAAUUCCCCAGUAAAUGCGGGUCAUAAGCUCGCGUUG